rnacentral:lncRNA from 1 species
CUUAUAGAGAGUAGAGGUGGUGGGCUGUUCCAGGACCAGGAAAUCUGGAGGACUGAGGGAAGUUCCAGGAUAAUUGAACAGUAGAAGGAGCAUGGUUUUGAAGUUCUGAAUGUCAGGAAUGAGCCUGGGAGAAUAAAUGGAUAUGGGCUAUCUCCUUCAGGGUUUAAAGGUUUCUUGGGAGAAGGAACUCCCUUCUUUGGAGAGCAUGGUCAAAGAUGCAGUGCAUUCUGGUUAGAGUCCACUUUUCAUAAAUAGCAGAAGAUGGAAAGAGAGUGGGAUAUGUGAAGAAUGGAUUUGGCUCUCCCCUGAUUAUAACAAUGAAGGUACUUAGCUCUUCCCUGAUUGUGAAAAUGUAAAUUGUAACUCAUGUCUAUUUUUAGAUUUUAAUCCCCUUAAGUGUAAAAACCCUAAUUAAAAGUUAAGUAUGGAAACCUGCCUAUUUUUAGAUUCAAUCACAAAAAGUGGAAACACGGUACUUAAAAGUUAAGUAUGUAGAUCUUCCCAUUUAGAUCUACUCACCAAAAGUGCAAAUAUCCUACUUAAUCAUGAAAUGGGAAGUCGUUGACCCAUGCAUUUGAUAGUGGAUAAUGAAUCAGAAUCGACUAACUGCCUUCUGGACAGUCAUAGAGCAGAGCGUCAGCUGUGAUUGGUAGACGUGGAAUUAGGGGAAGUGAUGCAAGAGAAAAUGUCUUUAAAAGUGGAGUUUGACUUGGAACUGUGAUUUUUGGAGUGGAGUUCAACUUGGAUUUCCACUUAUGCUAGAUGCAAUUCUUCAUGCUUUCAAGUUGAGGCUGGUGAAGAGGGGCAGAAGGAUCUGCUGACUGGACUAACAUGUGGUGAGUGAAAAAGCUGACUCCUAACUGCUGACUUUUCUCUGAAGAGACCAGCCUCAGGAAAGACUUCCUCUUGAGAAACUUCUCAGUUCCUUAGAUUUGCCAAGGUCAGCUGAAACUAAUUCUCCCCGCCCAAAGGGGCUGGGAAUAAAUGACUUAGUGCUCAGGCUAGAUAUCUUACC